rnacentral:rRNA from 1 species
AGUGAACGCUGGCGGCGUGCUUAACACAUGCAAGUCGAACGAGAACGGAUUAUAGCUUGCUAUAAUUGUCAGCUAAGUGGCGCACGGGUGAGUAAUGUAUAGGUAAUAUGCCUCUUACUAAGGGAUAACAAUUGGAAACGAUUGCUAAUACCUUAUAUUCCUUUUUAUCAAAAGAUAAAAAGGGAAAGAUUUAUUGGUAAGAGAUUAGCCUGUAUUGUAUCAGUUAGUUGGUGGGGUAAUGGCCUACCAAGACGAUGACGCAUAACUGGUUUGAGAGGAUGAUCAGUCACACUGGAACUGAGACACGGUCCAGACUCCUACGUGAGGCAGCAGUGGGGAAUAUUGCACAAUGGACGAAAGUCUGAUGCAGCAACGCCGCGUGGAGGAUGACACAGUUCGGUGCGUAAACUCCUUUUAUAUAAGAAGAUAAUGACGGUAUUAUAUGAAUAAGCACCGGCUAACUCCGUGCCAGCCGCCGCAGUAA